rnacentral:lncRNA from 10 species
UCACUGCAACCGCUGUCUCCCGGGUUCAAGCGAUUCUCUUGCCUCAGCCUCCAGAGUAGCUGGGAUUACAGGCGCCCGCCAUCGUGCCCAGCUAAUUUUUAUAUUUUUAGUGGAGACAGGGUUUCGGGUUUCACCAUGUUGGCCAGGUUGAUCUUGGACUCCUGACCCCAGGUGAUCCACCUGCCUCAGCCUUCCAAAGUGCUGGGAUUACAGGCAUGAGCCACCGUGGCCGGCCAAGAUUUUAAGCCUUCUGAGCCUUGAAAUUGAGGAGGUUAAAAGGAAGAGCCUUAAGAUUUUGAUUUAUGUCAAAUCCUAAUUCUAUCAUUCAGUCUUGUUUGGAGUUCUGAACCCAUGAUGUUGUAUUAUGCUUCUUUCUCCUCUUAGCACUCUCAAAUUUCAGGUUUGUAAAACACAGUUUUUGUUUUGUGUUCUGGCAAAGUGAUCUCAACAUGUAAGUAGUUGCAGUAAAACACAGGGGCAAAGGAAGACAGGCCUGAUGUGCCCACUCAUCUAUGGACUCAGAGCUGUGUGCUUUGCUCCUGCAUCUUGUUGAGGUGCUGUUCCAGCUUUGCAUUUCUGUCAAGUAGAGGCGAAUAUAUAAACAGUGUGGUUGAAUACAUUUAAUGCCAGCCAUUGGAAACUAGUUUUAGGCAACCACUCUCAAAAACAGCUUUAGAAUUUAUGCCCAGUUUUCUUGCAUUGAAAGAUAACUGAGUAAUAACCUGUAACUAUUUUUAAAUGGCAUGAAAUUAGGAAACUUUUGUACAUUUUAUAUACAUUUUGAGAUGAACAGAACAAUGGGCUGAGUUAUAAAAAGCGUGUAUUGAAUUUAAGAAGACAGACUAGCACAAAACACAGAAUUCGUGUUAACCAAAGGAGGCAUUGAUUUCAGUUUUAAGGCUACUCAGUGUUGUGUGUCCAGGGAAAUUCACAGCUCAGUAUGAGAAUACCUUGGUUAGUGCUCACCCACAAGCUUCCAGGAGCCAGCUGGGAGGAGACAAUAGGAAGAGAUGUCAUCUCUGCUCUCCCUGUAAAUGUUAGUUGAACUAAGUUAUGGAUUUGUGGUCUUUCAAAUACAUGACGCCUUUAGUAUGCCACACUGAAAUGAAUAAGAAGUCUUCUGAAACUGGGAACUUCAUAACAUUGAAGGCAGAAGAUUCUGCUAAGGAAAAAAGCAGGCAGGAAAGAAAAUGUCUCAUCCUUUCUUGAAAGCAUUUGCAGAAAAUAUAUCAUUUCAUUUUAUUCCCAUCUGUUUUCAAACUCGUGAUCUUAAAAGGCAUUCUGAUGAUAAAUUUAGAAUUUUCAUCUAUAAAAUUUAGAACUCUAAUCCAUAAAGUUAGAAUUGAGCUAAUAGAGUGGUAUGACAUGGCACUAAAAAUAUAAAUUUUUGUUGUAAGUCAGGAUUGGAGUAAGCUGGAAAAGUAUGUUUAGGCAAAUCUUGGAGAAAACCAACCAUAAACUUACAGCUCUAAAAUUCAGAAAGCCCUAAAAUUUCAAACACUGUUUGAAAGAAGAGGUGGGGGCCGGGUGCCGUGGCUCAUGCCUGUCAUCCCAGCAUUUGGGAGGCUGAGGCAGGCAGAUCACCUGAGGCCAGGAGUUCGAGACCAGCCUGGCUGGCUAGCAUGGUGAGACCGUCUCUACUAAAAAUGCAAAAAUUAACAGGGCACGGUGGCAUGCGCCUGUAGUCCCAGCUACUCGGGAGGCUGAGGCAGGAGAAUCACUUGAAUCCAGGAGGCGAAGGUUGCAGUGAGCUGAGAUUGUGCUGCUGCACUCCAGCCUGGGAGACAGAGCGAGACUCUGUCUUAAAAAAAAAAAAAGGAGGUGAAUUUUUUUUUAAGUUUUGUAACACUGUCCUACUUUAUUUAUUAGAAUCUAAGGCUGUUACAAUCAAGUCGUUGCAGGGUUUGGAUCAGCUGUAAGUUAGGUAUGCCUACCAAACAUCCAAAGGUAGACGUGGAGACAUUUUAAUACUACAAAACUAGGAAAAUCAGAACUCAUGGCCAUUUCCUGCCCUCCUCCAACUUGUUAAAACAUGUUUAUUCUAAAGUUCGAAUGGAUAAAUUUGAGUAUAAAGGUUUUGUUAUAAAACUGUUCUUUAGUGUAAGGCUGCAUUGUGGGUUUGGGGGAAAUGUAAAUAAUUUUCUGUGUAAAACAAAUUCAUAGGAUCUGAUUUGCUCAGAGUAUUAUUCAAGAAUGUAUUAAUAAGGCAUUGCCCCCUGUUUGCACUCAGGGUUAAUAUGUCAAAUGAAAUUUAAGAAGGAAAUGGAAGAAUUCAGGUACAUUAAUUGCAUAUUAUUUUGGGAAAGAUGAGUCCUAUACGUGGCAAUUUUUCAAUGUCAUCUGAAGCCAGCAUUAUCUUCCAAAGAAAUCGAUCUUUUUUUUCUAAAAAAAAAAAAUGCUUUUGCCUUCCCUUCCCUUCCCAUCCGCCAUAUUUCUUCAGCCUUUCUUCUCGAUCACCCGUGUAUUCUUUGACCAGUAAAUGACCACACCUCAAUGAUGGUAAAACAGCAUCAUCAGUAAGCUAUCUUAUAUGCCUCAUCCUGUGAGUUUGAGCUUCAGGAAACAUGAGUAAAAGUAUAUGUAAUGUAUAUAGUCGUAUAUGUAUUCUAGCAAGAAAAACAUAUUUAUUUUGACAAAGGGGAACACUGACUUUCUGAAGGAUUCAGAAAGAACCUUAGUGAAAGGUUCUCAGUCUCUGAGAGUGGACCCUAAUUAACAUAAAGACCAUUCAUCAGCGAAUAACUACUGAGCAACUCUAGUGUGCCAGCACAGGCCAGACAUACUAGUGAGCCAGGCACAUCUGGCCUUGGGAAACUCAUCCUACAGGGGAAGGCCAGUUUUUUUCCCUUCAAUUCCUCAAGUCUGGGUGGUGACAAGGUAGGGGCUAGGUACUGGACUACCACAGGUUUUUAGGAACUAAGGUGUUUCUCAUAAACACAAAAUGUUGGGUGAAACUGGGAACAACUACUCAGAAGCUCAUUUAUUUGCUUAAAUGGAAAGUGUGGGAGCCACUACCCUCUCUUUUGAUCUGCCAAGGAUUUCCUCUCAGAGCUGUUGCACAGACAGAGAUUGUACUUGGUAAGAUACCAAACAAGACAGAUAUGGAUCUAAAUUUCUAAUGUGUUCUAUGGGUUUCAAUUCUGAAAAAAGAAAAUGAAUAAAGAUUUUAAUAAAU